rnacentral:rRNA from 1 species
ACGAACGCUGGCGGCGUGCCUAAUACAUGCAAGUAGAACGCUGAAGGAGGAGCUUGCUUCUCUGGAUGAGUUGCGAACGGGUGAGUAACGCGUAGGUAACCUGCCUGGUAGCGGGGGAUAACUAUUGGAAACGAUAGCUAAUACCGCAUAAUAGUAGAUGUUGCAUGACAUUUGCUUAAAAGGUGCAAUUGCAUCACUACCAGAUGGACCUGCGUUGUAUUAGCUAGUUGGUGGGGUAACGGCUCACCAAGGCGACGAUACAUAGCCGACCUGAGAGGGUGAUCGGCCACACUGGGACUGAGACACGGCCCAGACUCCUACGGGAGGCAGCAGUAGGGAAUCUUCGGCAAUGGACGGAAGUCUGACCGAGCAACGCCGCGUGAGUGAAGAAGGGUUUCGGAUCGUAAAGCUCUGUUGUAAGAGAAGAACGAGUGUGAGAGUGGAAAGUUCACACUGUGACGGUAUCUUACCAGAAAGGGACGGCUAACUACGUG